UACGGAGGGUGCGAGCGUUGUCCGGAAUCAUUGGGCGUAAAGGGCGCGUAGGUGGCCCGGUCAGUUCGUGGUGAAAGCGCGGGGCUCAACCCUGCGUCGGCCAUGAAUACUGCCGCGGCUGGAGCACUGUAGAGGCAGGCGGAAUUCCGGGUGUAGCGGUGGAAUGCGUAGAGAUCCGGAAGAACACCGGUGGCGAAGGCGGGCUGCUGGGCCGAUGCUGGACGCUGAG
rnacentral:rRNA from 1 species